rnacentral:rRNA from 1 species
UACGGGGGGGGUAAGCGUUGUUCGGAAUUACUGGGCGUAAAGGGCUCGUAGGCGGCCAACUAAGUCAUACGUGAAAUCCCUCAGCUUAACUGGGGAACUGCGUGUGAUACUGGAUGGCUUGGAUUUGGGAGAGGGAUGCGGAAUUCCAGGUGUAGCGGUGAAAUGCGUAGAUAUCUGGAGGAACACCGGUAGCGAAGGCGGCAUCCUGGACCAAUAUUGACGCUGAGGAGCGAAAGCCAGGGGAGCAAACGGG